UUUAAAUUAAUUUUUAAUACUCCUCACUAAUAUAUUUAAGAAUGUAAUUUUUUUUUUCAACCACUGCUCCAACAGAAAUUCCAAUGGGCAACACUUGUGAAAUUGAUCCACCGGAUAGCACAGGGAAUCUAUGUAGGAAACAUAUAUCAACAAAAAUGACAGACUACCAAACCAGUUGCAUUAGUGUUACAGACAAUUAACCAAAACAAUUUUGCAUCUGCCAAGAACGUAAACAUUUCUUUCAUCAUAUGCUUUCUGUAGUAGCUAAGAGCUUUUCUGUUUCAAAACUUCUGCUUCAGCCCUUGCCAUUGGGUCAUCCUUGAUUUCCAUUUCAUCUUCCUUUUCUCCUUCUCGCUCCUGUGCCAUUUUCUUUCUAUGCAACUCAUCGGCAGCUUGCAUUGCAGCUCUGUUCUCCGCCUGAAUUCGAUCCAUUUCCUCUUGUUGUCGUUGCCGUUCAAACCAUGUGUCAGCAUCCGCCCAAACUGAAGCAUUGAAGAGUAGUGUCAAUCAUGCAAUCACAAUAUUCAUCUCUAGAAUUGCAGACCCCCCAAGAAAAUAUUUAAGAUCACAAAAUUUCACUAAGGGUGUGGUUAUGAAAAACUCGAACUUAUAUGAGAACGAGCUUAAUGAUUAUUAGAUUAAAUAUUUACAUCUAAAUUCGUGCAUUCAUUAUAUAUACUUUAAUCAAUUUUACACAAAUCUAGAUACAAAUAUUUGAUCUAACGGUUAUUAAACCUAUUCUCACAUGAGGUCGAGCUUCUAUUAAAUGCACCCUUUCAUUAAUUUCAAUUAAUUUGACAGGUUUACAUUAGACAUAUGUUUAUAACACAAAAACAAAGAUUUGGCAUCAACUGAAGCAAAGCAAUAUUAAUCAUUCCCUCACCCUCCAUGCCUUCCCUCUUUCCAACUUGAACAACUUCACUGCUUUGAACAGAAGUUCAUGAACAUCAACCAUUACCAAUAAAGGCAACAUGUUUGAAUAUAUAAUGCAUGAAAUUAAGAUCCACAGACCAUUAACAGUUAAAUAAACAAAAUAAAAAUUACUAAAACCCACAAAGAAGUCCUCUGCAUCAAAACCUUGACUGGGUUAUUCCAUGUUGAGAUAUAAUUGAACAUAAGUAGCAUUUGAUACUAGAGUAGACACACAAGAAACCAAUGAUCCAAUGAUCUAAAUUCAAGCCAACUAAAGGAAACCACUCACCAUCUCUAGAAGCAACAUCUAUUGCAUAUCUAUUACGCAUAGAGAGCAAGGUAUAGUUGAUUACACUAAUUUAUGUGAUACACAGAGAUGAUGCCAGAAUUGAGAACAAGUACAGCAAAGGCAACAUGACAUAUACAAAGAAUUAUAGAAAGACAUGUCUAUCACUUCAUGUAAUUAUGGUAUUAGAACAAUUUCAUUCUCACCAAGUCACAACAACUAAUGCAGAUUAAGGCUUUACAUUCAACAAUAUAAACCUUGAGAAACAAAACCCAAGUUCUCCUUCAGAUUAAUGAUUGAAAUUUCCUCCAUUCACAUUAGCUCAGUAUCAAAAUUAUCCAUGCAUCCCGACAAAUAUUUCACCAAUUUGUACAUUGUAAUGAUUCUUCAGCUCUAAAUAAGUAAAACCUAAUAUAAUCGAUCCAAAACCAUAAACCCCAAAUUACCCUAAAAAUCCCCUCAGGUAAACUAAAAUUGAGAACCAAAAACAUAAAAACGUAAACUUUCCAAGUCCACAAAUUCAAAACUAUGAAACCCAAUUCAAAGGCGAGAGAGAGAGAGGAGGACAUAC
rnacentral:misc_RNA from 1 species